CCUACGGGUGGCAGCAGUGGGGAAUAUUGCACAAUGGGGGGAACCCUGAUGCAGCGACGCCGCGUGGGUGAGGAAGUAUUUCGGUGUGUAAAGCCCUAGCAGCAGGGAAGAAAAUGACGGUACUGGACUAAGAAGCAACGCCUAACUACGUCCCAGAAGCCGCGGUAAUACGUAGGGGGCAAGCGUUAUCCGGAGUUACUGGGUGUAAAGGGAGCGUAGUCGGCGUGCCAAGUAUGAUGUGAAAGGCCGGGGCUCAAACCCGGGACUGCAUUGGAAACUGGCAUGCUGGAGUGCAGGAGGGGCAAGCGGAAUUCCUAGUGUAGCGGUGAAAUGCGUAGAUAUUAGGAGGAACACCGGUGGCGAAGGCGGCUUGCUGGACGGUAACUGACGUUGAGGCUCGAAAGCGUGGGGAGCAAACAGGAUUAGAUACCCGAGUAGUC
rnacentral:rRNA from 1 species